rnacentral:rRNA from 1 species
UAGGUAGGGGGCGAGCGCUGGCCGGAUUUAUUGGGCGUAAAGAGCGUGUAGGCGGCCGAGCAGGUCCGUUGUGAAAACUGAAGGCUCAACCUUCAGAGGUCGAUGGAAACCGUUCGGCUAGAGUCCGUAAGAGGAGAGUGGAAUUCCUGGUGUAGCGGUGAAAUGCGCAGAUAUCAGGAAGAACACCCGUGGCGAAAGCGGCUCUCUGGGACGGUACUGACGCUGAGACGCGAAAGCGUGGGGAGCGAACAGG